GAUGAAGAACGUAGCGAAAUGCGAUAAGUAAUGUGAAUUGCAGAAUUCAGUGAAUCAUCGAAUCUUUGAACGCACAUUGCGCCCGUCAGUAUUCUGGCGGGCAUGCCUGUUCGAGCGUCAUUACGCCCCUCAAAUCCCCUGUGGACUUGGUGUUGGGGAUCGGCGAGGCUGGUUUUCCAGCACAGCCGUCCCUUAAAUUAAUUGGCGGUCUCGCCGGGGCCCUCCUCUGCGCAGUAGUAAAACACUCGCAACAGGAGCCCGGCGCGGUCCACUGCCGUAAAACCCCCCAACUUUUUAUAGUUGACCUCGAAUCAGGUAGGACUACCCGCUGAACUUAAGCAUAUCAAUAAGCGGAGGA
rnacentral:misc_RNA from 1 species